AAAACAAAUGCGCGUCCUAGUGGCCAACAACGUGUUGGGCAACCUGGAGGUCCCAGGUUUGAGCACCGUAAUGCGCAGGAGGGUGCUUCUUUUUGGUGUACGUGCGUGGGAAGGGCCGUACGGGAUUGAAACGCUACCAGCAACAGGAGGAGUCGGCUGAGCGGUGGACUGCUGCUCAGCAGUGGAGAGUUUGAAUUAAAUUCAAACUUUGAAUUUGGCCAUGAAUUAAGGAGAUAAGGAAGGAAUUAAAGUUGGAA
rnacentral:lncRNA from 1 species